rnacentral:lncRNA from 1 species
AAAAAAUGAAAUUUAGUCUCAAGUUAGAAAAAAGCCAAAUUACUUAAUUUUACUAAAAAUUUAUAAAUCAAUUAAACAAAAAUAAUAAAUAUGAAAAUUAAAUUGAAUAUAAAAUAACUACUAUAUAACUGUAAUGAUAUGAUAAUAUCAUGACAUGUAAAUAAUUAUGCUUUUAAUUAAAGAAAUAAAAAAAUAUUAAAAAAAAAAACUACGAAAACAUAUACUUUUCACUUGCAAUUAAUUAUUUAAACCCCAC